AAACGCCAUCCUCGCAGCUAUCAUCAUCAACGCUGUGAUUCCUUUGAUCGAUAUCCAAGCUGCUAUUUUGAUCUUCAAGGUUGAUAAGCUCGAUUUCAUCGCCUGUAUUGGAGCAUUCUUUGGCGUCAUCUUUGUUUCUGUUGAGAUCGGACUUCUUAUUGCCGUAAGUCUCAAGAAAACUAAACCCUCUAUAUAUAGCUGCAAUAAUGAUGAAUCUAAUUCACUUCUAAUCUUAAUUUGCUAAUGUUUGUAUGUGUACAGGUCUCGAUCUCGUUUGCUAAGAUCCUCUUGCAAGUAACAAGACCUAGAACUGCAGUUCUCGGAAAUAUUCCAAGAACUUCGGUUUACAGAAAUAUUCAACAGUAUCCUGAAGCCACUAUGGUUCCAGGGGUUCUUACUAUUCGUGUUGACUCCGCCAUUUACUUCUCCAACUCAAAUUAUGUUAGAGAAAGGUAAAAACCCUAUACAAAAGUUUAAUAUUAACCAAGAUCUGUUACUUGGUUGACAAGAAAUUUAAAUCGAAAACCCUUUUUCAUUUACAGGAUCCAGAGAUGGCUACAUGAGGAAGAAGAAAAGGUAAAAGCAGCAAGCCUACCUAGGAUUCAGUUUCUCAUCAUCGAAAUGUCACGUAAGUUAAACUUCACUCCCAAUUUCUAUAUAUAUAUUCCUUCUUAAUUUUUUUCUCAUAACACAAAGAUUAACGAACACCAUUAUUUUUCAGCUGUUACGGACAUCGAUACAAGUGGUAUUCACGCAUUAGAAGACUUAUACAAGUCUCUCCAGAAAAGAGACAUUCAGGUACAUACAUAUAUACACACAUACUGAAUUCUUUAAGGAUUAUAAUCUAAGCACUCAAAGUGAAUUAGUUGAAGAAGAUUUACCUGACUCUGUGUUUUGUGAUGAUAAACAGUUGAUUCUGGCGAAUCCUGGACCGUUGGUGAUAGGCAAGCUACACUUGUCGCACUUUGCCGACAUGUUAGGACAAGACAAUAUCUAUCUAACGGUGGCUGAUGCCGUCGAGGCUUGCUGUCCAAAACUCUCCAACGAGGUCUGAAAUUUACAAGAAAGAAGAAGAAGAAGAAAAUGAAGAUAAUGACGAAGAAGAAGAAAGAUAUGCUCUUUUAAAUGUUGUAACAGUAGAGUUAAGAAAGUGAUUGUAUUUCUUUGGACCCUUUCUUUAUGAUUCUUCUAUCACACCAAGGGGUCAAGUGUAAAGUUGACUACUUUUUAUAAAUUAAGAUUUUUCUAUGAAAU
rnacentral:lncRNA from 1 species